rnacentral:rRNA from 1 species
AGCGAACGCUGGCGGCAGGCCUAACACAUGCAAGUCGAACGAACUCUUCGGAGUUAGUGGCGGACGGGUGAGUAACACGUGGGAACGUGCCUUUUGGUUCGGAAUAUCUCAGGGAAACUUGUGCUAAUACCGAAUGUGCCCUUCGGGGGAAAGAUUUAUCGCCAUUAGAGCGGCCCGCGUCUGAUUAGCUAGUUGGUGAGGUAACGGCUCACCAAGGCGACGAUCAGUAGCUGGUCUGAGAGGAUGACCAGCCACACUGGGACUGAGACACGGCCCAGACUCCUACGGGAGGCAGCAGUGGGGAAUCUUGCGCAAUGGGCGAAAGCCUGACGCAGCCAUGCCGCGUGAAUGAUGAAGGUCUUAGGAUUGUAAAAUUCUUUCACCGGGGACGAUAAUGACGGUACCCGGAGAAGAAGCCCCGGCUAACUUCGUG